UUCUCUCCUUCAUCCUCUCUCUUCCUUCCCCGUCACUCUCCUUCCCUUAUCCUUUCUCUCCUUCUUCUCUUUCAGGCAACAGCGCCGCCUUCCACUUGUCACCCAAGACCGUCAAAUACCUCCAUAAUCCUCUUCCCAUCCUCCUUCCGAUCCUCAAGUUAGUUUCUACAAAUUCAUAGCCAAAUUUCUUCAAUUUCAGAUCUAAGAAACAUAUGAUUUUGUUCGGGUUUUGUGUGUUUUGCAGGUGUGAGAGCGGCGUACGGGACGACGAAGAGAGGAGUAGCAGUAGCGUCGAUGGAUGAUGAGGCCCGAGCUGGUGAUGAAGCCGAUCGUUUCUCUCGACGAUUUGUGAUGUUGUCAUUAUCCUUCUGAAAAUGACAAUCAGUAUGGUAACAACCAUUAAUAAGAGAGGAAUUACUUCUGAACAUAAUUUCAGUGAUAACUCUACUACACCAGUCACCAGCAUCAGCUCGUUCUCGAGCGAUAAUCUGUGCCUGCACCCCUGAUGAAAGCUUUGCGCCUGAUAGGAUAAAAAGAAGUUUAGUGAGAGCCUUACCCUUCGAAAAUUGCUUGAAUAAUCCUAGGACUGUAUAAA